UUUUCGGACUCAGCCUGCCUACACCCAGGGCUGAGGGAGCACAUCCAAGGAAGGGCCAACUUGGAAGGGGUUCAGCCCAUCAGAUAGCAGCUCAGGAGUAUCUAACCUGCAAAGAUCUUAAUUAAGGCUUUGGCUUUCGACUUAAAAGUCUCCAUAAAGGAACGCUACGCAUCAUCCUGAAAAUAAAGAUCAAAGUCCACAGCCAGUGGUGAAGAAACAUUAAUAAGAGAAUCAGUCAGCCUAGUUUUUUUGAGGAAAUCUGUGCACAGAUCCCAAGUCUACACAUAAACCAAAAAGCCAAAGUAAAGUUAACUGUAUUUGAGCAGUGUGGGCAGCCCAGCCAGCCACAGUAACUGAAGCUGGAAGAAUUACUCCCUACACACAGGGCUCGUGUUCUCUAGAUCAACCAGACACAUCACAGACUCUGUUGUUGAGGUUCUUUCAUUUCCUCAGGCCAGUUAGCCCUUGGCUAGUAGCCAGAGCUGUACAUUAACUGCCCCUACAUUUUUAAAAUCAUUGCUUAUGAAUUUCUAUGUAUUAACUUAGAGAAAUGUAAUUCUAGUUCCCAUCUUAGAGGAAUGGUCUCUUCUUAAUGUCUUUGUGUUCUAAAUAUUUGAUCAUGUCAACAAAAAA
rnacentral:lncRNA from 10 species